GAAGAGGUUCUUCUAAGAACCACCAUAUAUGUUAAUUCAUCCAAAUU
rfam:Ovis aries breed Texel Tnplaced_Contig943_fixed, whole genome shotgun sequence.